GACGAACGCUGGCGGCGUGCUUAACACAUGCAAGUCGAACGGAAAGGCCCUGCUUUUGUGGGGUGCUCGAGUGGCGAACGGGUGAGUAACACGUGAGUAACCUGCCCUUGACUUUGGGAUAACUUCAGGAAACUGGGGCUAAUACCGGAUAGGAGCUCCUGCUGCAUGGUGGGGGUUGGAAAGUUUCGGCGGUUGGGGAUGGACUUGCGGCUUAUCAGCUUGUUGGUGGGGUAGUGGCUUACCAAGGCUUUGACGGGUAGCCGGCCUGAGAGGGUGACCGGCCACAUUGGGACUGAGAUACGGCCCAGACUCCUACGGGAGGCAGCAGUGGGGAAUAUUGCACAAUGGGCGGAAGCCUGAUGCAGCAACGCCGCGUGCGGGAUGACGGCCUUCGGGUUGUAAACCGCUUUCGCCUGUGACGAAGCGUGAGUGACGGUAAUGGGUAAAGAAGCACCGGCUAACUACGUGCCAGCAGCCGCGGUGAUACGUAGGGUGCGAGCGUUGUCCGGAUUUAUUGGGCGUAAAGGGCUCGUAGGUGGUUGAUCGCGUCGGAAGUGUAAUCUUGGGGCUUAACCCUGAGCGUGCUUUCGAUACGGGUUGACUUGAGGAAGGUAGGGGAGAAUGGAAUUCCUGGUGGAGCGGUGGAAUGCGCAGAUAUCAGGAGGAACACCAGUGGCGAAGGCGGUUCUCUGGGCCUUUCCUGACGCUGAGGAGCGAAAGCGUGGGGAGCGAACAGGCUUAGAUACCCUGGUAGUCCACGCUGUAAACGGUGGGUACUAGGUGUGGGGUCCAUUCCACGGGUUCCGUGCCGUAGCUAACGCUUUAAGUACCCCGCCUGGGGAGUACGGCCGCAAGGCUAAAACUCAAAGGAAUUGACGGGGCCCCGCACAAGCGGCGGAGCAUGCGGAUUAAUUCGAUGCAACGCGUAGAACCUUACCUGGGUUUGACAUGGAUCGGGAGUGCUCAGAGAUGGGUGUGCCUCUUUUGGGGUCGGUUCACAGGUGGUGCAUGGCUGUCGUCAGCUCGUGUCGUGAGAUGUUGGGUUAAGUCCCGCAACGAGCGCAACCCUUGUUCACUGUUGCCAGCACGUUAUGGUGGGGACUCAGUGGAGACCGCCGGGGUCAACUCGGAGGAAGGUGGGGAUGACGUCAAGUCAUCAUGCCCCUUAUGUCCAGGGCUUCACGCAUGCUACAAUGGCUGGUACAGAGAGUGGCGAGCCUGUGAGGGUGAGCGAAUCUCGGAAAGCCGGUCUCAGUUCGGAUUGGGGUCUGCAACUCGACCUCAUGAAGUCGGAGUCGCUAGUAUUCGCAGAUCAGCAACGCUGCGGUGAAUACGUUCCCGGG
rnacentral:rRNA from 1 species